rnacentral:rRNA from 1 species
CCUACGGGAGGCAGCAGUGAGGAAUAUUGGACAAUGGGCGCAAGCCUGAUCCAGCCAUGCCGCGUGCAGGAAGAAGCAUCUAUGGUGUGUAAACUGCUUUUGUACGGGAAGAAACACUGCUACGUGUAGCAGCUUGACGGUACCGUAAGAAUAAGGAUCGGCUAACUCCGUGCCAGCAGCCGCGGUAAUACGGAGGAUCCAAGCGUUAUCCGGAAUCAUUGGGUUUAAAGGGUCCGUAGGCGGUUUGGUAAGUCAGUGGUGAAAGCCCAUCGCUUAACGAUGGAACGGCCAUUGAUACUGCCAGACUUGAAUUACUAGGAAGUAACUAGAAUAUGUAGUGUAGCGGUGAAAUGCUUAGAUAUUACAUGGAAUACCAAUUGCGAAGGCAGGUUACUACUAGUUUAUUGACGCUGAUGGACGAAAGCGUGGGGAGCGAACAGGAUUAGAUACCCUGGUAGUCCACGCCGUAAACGAUGGAUACUAGCUGUUCGGGGUAACCUGAGUGGCUAAGCGAAAGUGAUAAGUAUCCACCUGGGAGUACGUUCGCAAGAAUGAAACUCAAAGGAAUUGACGG